AUAAGGAGUCGGACCUGCCCAGUGAAUAUAUUAAACGGCCGCGGUACUCUGACCGUGCAAAGGUAGCAUAAUCAUUUGCCCUAUAAUUGAGGGCUAGUAUGAAUGGUUUGACAAGAAUAAAGCUGUCUCCAUAUAAUUAUAUAGAAUUUUAUUUUUAGGUGAAGAAGCCUAAAUUAUAUUAAAAGACAAGAAGACCCUAUCGAGCUUUUAAAAAAUUAAUAAAGUAACAAUAAAUAUUUAUAAAAUAAAUUUUAUUAAAGAUUUUGGUUGGGGCGACAAAGGAACAACUAAAGCUUCUUUCAAAAUGAUAAGACUAACAAGUAUUGAUCCAGAAAGUUUUGAUUAAAGGAAUAUAGUUACCGUAGGGAUAACAGCAUUAUCUUUUUUGAGAGCUCAUAUCGAAAAAAAGGUUUGUGACCUCGAUGUUGGAUCAGAAUACCCAAAAGAUGCAGAAGUCUUUAAAGGUUGGUCUGUUCGACCAUUAAAAUUCUA
rnacentral:rRNA from 1 species